GUUAUAUGGUCAAGUGAAGAAGCGCAUACGGUGGAUGCCUUGGCAGUCAGAGGCGAUGAAAGACGUGGUAGCCUGCGAAAAGCUUCGGGGAGUCGGCAAACAGACUUUGAUCCGGAGAUGUCUGAAUGGGGGAACCCAGCCAUCACAAGAUGGUUAUCUUGCACUGAAUACAUAGGUGCAAGAGGCGAACCAGGGGAACUGAAACAUCUAAGUACCCUGAGGAAAAGAAAUCAACCGAGAUUCCCUUAGUAGUGGCGAGCGAACGGGGACUAGCCCUUAAGUGGCUUUGAGAUUAGCGGAACGCUCUGGAAAGUGCGGCCAUAGUGGGUGAUAGCCCUGUACGCGAAAAUCUCUUAGUCAUGAAAUCGAGUAGGACGGAGCACGAGAAACUUUGUCUGAAUAUGGGGGGACCAUCCUCCAAGGCUAAAUACUACUGACUGACCGAUAGUGAACUAGUACCGUGAGGGAAAGGCGAAAAGAACCCCGGAGAGGGGAGUGAAAUAGAUCCUGAAACCGUAUGCGUACAAGCAGUGGGAGCAGACUUUGUUCUGUGACUGCGUACCUUUUGUAUAAUGGGUCAGCGACUUAUUUUCAGUGGCGAGCUUAACCGAAUAGGGGAGGCGUAGCGAAAGCGAGUCUUAAUAGGGCGUCUAGUCGCUGGGAAUAGACCCGAAACCGGGCGAUCUAUCCAUGGGCAGGUUGAAGGUUAGGUAACACUGACUGGAGGACCGAACCGACUACCGUUGAAAAGUUAGCGGAUGACCUGUGGAUCGGAGUGAAAGGCUAAUCAAGCUCGGAGAUAGCUGGUUCUCCUCGAAAGCUAUUUAGGUAGCGCCUCAUGUAUCACUGUAGGGGGUAGAGCACUGUUUCGGCUAGGGGGUCAUCCCGACUUACCAAACCGAUGCAAACUCCGAAUACCUACAAGUGCCGAGCAUGGGAGACACACGGCGGGUGCUAACGUCCGUCGUGAAAAGGGAAACAACCCAGACCGUCAGCUAAGGUCCCAAAGUUAUGGUUAAGUGGGAAACGAUGUGGGAAGGCUUAGACAGCUAGGAGGUUGGCUUAGAAGCAGCCACCCUUUAAAGAAAGCGUAAUAGCUCACUAGUCGAGUCGGCCUGCGCGGAAGAUGUAACGGGGCUCAAACCAUACACCGAAGCUACGGGUAUCACGUAAGUGAUGCGGUAGAGGAGCGUUCUGUAAGCCUGUGAAGGUGAGUUGAGAAGCUUGCUGGAGGUAUCAGAAGUGCGAAUGCUGACAUGAGUAACGACAAUGGGUGUGAAAAACACCCACGCCGAAAGACCAAGGUUUCCUGCGCAACGUUAAUCGACGCAGGGUUAGUCGGUCCCUAAGGCGAGGCUGAAAAGCGUAGUCGAUGGAAAACAGGUUAAUAUUCCUGUACUUCUGGUUAUUGCGAUGGAGGGACGGAGAAGGCUAGGCCAGCUUGGCGUUGGUUGUCCAAGUUUAAGGUGGUAGGCUGAGAUCUUAGGUAAAUCCGGGAUCUUAAGGCCGAGAGCUGAUGACGAGUUGCCUUUAGGCGACGAAGUGGUUGAUGCCAUGCUUCCAAGAAAAGCUUCUAAGCUUCAGAUAACCAGGAACCGUACCCCAAACCGACACAGGUGGUUGGGUAGAGAAUACCAAGGCGCUUGAGAGAACUCGGGUGAAGGAACUAGGCAAAAUGGCACCGUAACUUCGGGAGAAGGUGCGCCGGUGAGGGUGAAGGACUUGCUCCGUAAGCCCAUGCCGGUCGAAGAUACCAGGCCGCUGCGACUGUUUAUUAAAAACACAGCACUCUGCAAACACGAAAGUGGACGUAUAGGGUGUGACGCCUGCCCGGUGCCGGAAGGUUAAUUGAUGGGGUUAGCUAACGCGAAGCUCUUGAUCGAAGCCCCGGUAAACGGCGGCCGUAACUAUAACGGUCCUAAGGUAGCGAAAUUCCUUGUCGGGUAAGUUCCGACCUGCACGAAUGGCGUAACGAUGGCGGCGCUGUCUCCACCCGAGACUCAGUGAAAUUGAAAUCGCUGUGAAGAUGCAGUGUAUCCGCGGCUAGACGGAAAGACCCCGUGAACCUUUACUAUAGCUUUGCACUGGACUUUGAAUUUGCUUGUGUAGGAUAGGUGGGAGGCUUUGAAGCGUGGACGCCAGUUCGCGUGGAGCCAUCCUUGAAAUACCACCCUGGCAACUUUGAGGUUCUAACUCAGGUCCGUUAUCCGGAUCGAGGACAGUGUAUGGUGGGUAGUUUGACUGGGGCGGUCUCCUCCUAAAGAGUAACGGAGGAGUACGAAGGUGCGCUCAGACCGGUCGGAAAUCGGUCGUAGAGUAUAAAGGCAAAAGCGCGCUUGACUGCGAGACAGACACGUCGAGCAGGUACGAAAGUAGGUCUUAGUGAUCCGGUGGUUCUGUAUGGAAGGGCCAUCGCUCAACGGAUAAAAGGUACUCCGGGGAUAACAGGCUGAUACCGCCCAAGAGUUCAUAUCGACGGCGGUGUUUGGCACCUCGAUGUCGGCUCAUCACAUCCUGGGGCUGAAGCCGGUCCCAAGGGUAUGGCUGUUCGCCAUUUAAAGUGGUACGCGAGCUGGGUUUAGAACGUCGUGAGACAGUUCGGUCCCUAUCUGCCGUGGACGUUUGAGAUUUGAGAGGGGCUGCUCCUAGUACGAGAGGACCGGAGUGGACGAACCUCUGGUGUUCCGGUUGUCACGCCAGUGGCAUUGCCGGGUAGCUAUGUUCGGAAAAGAUAACCGCUGAAAGCAUCUAAGCGGGAAACUUGCCUCAAGAUGAGAUCUCACUGGAACCUUGAGUUCCCUGAAGGGCCGUCGAAGACUACGACGUUGAUAGGUUGGGUGUGUAAGCGCUGUGAGGCGUUGAGCUAACCAAUACUAAUUGCCCGUGAGGCUUGACCAUAUAACACCCAAGCAAUU
rnacentral:rRNA from 1 species